rnacentral:rRNA from 1 species
AUUGAACGCUGGCGGCAGGCCUUACACAUGCAAGUCGAACGAGUGGCGGACGGGUGAGUAAUGUCUCGGAAACUGCCUGGUGGAGGGGGAUAACUACUGGAAACGGUAGCUAAUACCGCAUACCAUCAGAUGUGCCCAGAUGGGAUUAGCUAGUUGGUGGGGUAAAGGCUCACCAAGGCAACGAGCCCUAGCUGGUCUGAGAGGAUGACCAGCCACACUGGAACUGAGACACGGCCCAGACUCCUACGGGAGGCAGCAGUGGGGAAUAUUGCACAAUGGGCGAAAGCCUGAUGCAGCCAUGCCGCGUGUAUGAAGAAGGCCUUCGGGUUGUAAAGUACUUUCAGCGGGGAGGCGUUACCCGCAGAAGAAGCACCGGCUAACUCCGUGCCAGCAGCCGCGGUAAUUC